UUAAAUGAUGAUCAAUUUUAUCACGACGGUCAACAUAGCCACACGUUGGUAUUGAUGAGAAUGCCUGUGACAGGGCUUAGAUCUGAUA
rfam:Glarea lozoyensis 74030 unplaced genomic scaffold M7I_scaffold14, whole genome shotgun sequence.